ACAACCCUUAAGGAAUAAGGUUGAUUAUGUAAGGAUUGUUGGGUAUAAGGAAGUCAAUACGCCCUAAGGUCAAAGAUAUAAGUUAACACAAGGAUUACUAAGGAAGACUUGUAUUCUCAACAAAUGAUGUUGAGAAGACAGUCAAAAGGAACAAGUGCUGGAAUAAUUCCAUGGCCUCGAGACAUAAGUGAAGGACUAAAGAAUUCAAGGGUGAAUAUAAGGACAAGUCGGAGAAGGACAAACCCGUAAAAAGACCCUUGAGGAACUUGGAAGGACAUAACUAAGAACUAGUACAAAAAAGAACCCGAGGAACCUUUAAGAUACAACCGUGAAGGAAUAAGGUUGAUUAUUUCGAGGCUUGUUGGGUAUAAGGAAGACAAUGCGCACUAAGCUUUAAGAUAUAAGGUAAGGAUCAAAUGCUGGAACAAGUUCAUGUACUCAAGACAUAAGUUAAGGAAUAAUGGAUGCAAGAACAAGGACAAGCCAGAAAAGGGCAAACCCGUAAAAGGACCCUCAAGGAACUUGGAAGGACAUAACUAAGAAAGAGCAAAGAGUACAAUAAGGAACAAGAGGAACCUCUAAGAUACACCUUUGAUGGAAUAAGGUUGAUUACUUCAAGGCUUUUUGGGUAUAAGGAAAGCAAUGCACCUUAAGCUCUAAAAGAUAAUACGGACUAAUGGACGCAAGAAUGAAUAUAAG